AUUGAACGCUGGCGGCAUGCCUUACACAUGCAAGUCGAACGGUAACAGGUCUUCGGAUGCUGACGAGUGGCGAACGGGUGAGUAAUGUAUCGGAACGUGCCCAGUCGUGGGGGAUAACUACUCGAAAGAGUGGCUAAUACCGCAUACGACCUGAGGGUGAAAGCGGGGGAUCGCAAGACCUCGCGCGAUUGGAGCGGCCGAUAUCAGAUUAGGUAGUUGGUGGGGCAAAGGCUCACCAAGCCAACGAUCUGUAGCUGGUCUGAGAGGACGACCAGCCACACUGGGACUGAGACACGGCCCAGACUCCUACGGGAGGCAGCAGUGGGGAAUUUUGGACAAUGGGCGCAAGCCUGAUCCAGCCAUGCCGCGUGCGGGAAGAAGGCCUUCGGGUUGUAAACCGCUUUUGUCAGGGAAGAAACGACUUGCUCUAAUACAGUGGGUUAAUGACGGUACCUGAAGAAUAAGCACCGGCUAACUACGUGCCAGCCGCCGCGGUAAUAC
rnacentral:rRNA from 1 species